rnacentral:rRNA from 1 species
GACGAACGCUGGCGGCGUGCUUAACACAUGCAAGUCGAACGGAAAGGCCCUGCUUUUGUGGGGUGCUCGAGUGGCGAACGGGUGAGUAACACGUGAGUAACCUGCCCUUGACUUUGGGAUAACUUCAGGAAACUGGGGCUAAUACCGGAUAGGAGCUCCUGCUGCAUGGUGGGGGUUGGAAAGUUUCGGCGGUUGGGGAUGGACUCGCGGCUUAUCAGCUUGUUGGUGGGGUAGUGGCUUACCAAGGCUUUGACGGGUAGCCGGCCUGAGUGGGUGACCGGCCACAUUGGGACUGAGAGACGGCCCAGACUCCUACGGGAGGCAGCAGUGGGGAAUAUUGCACAAUGGACGGGAGCCUGAUGCAGCAACGCCGCGUGCGGGAUGACGGCCUUCGGGUUGUAAACCGCUUUCGCCUGUGACAAAGCGUGAGUGACGGUAAUGGGUAAAGAAGCACCGGCUAACUACGUG